ensembl:lncRNA novel transcript, antisense to CEP152
GGGCGACCCCAGCAGCCUGGAAACGAGGCGGGCUUCCCAUAUGUCACUUCUAAGUAGGAUAUUGGAGGAAUGAAGAGGUCUAAAUGACACGUUAAGGUAAAAGCUGAGCCCGCAACAUGCGGGCAGUCCACCACCGCGGGAUUUGGGGAGGGGGCAGGUCAGCCCCCCCAGGAACCCUCAGCCAGCAUCCCGAGGACCCCGCAACUCCUCUAACCCCAGGUCCAAGCUCACCCGUGAAUCAGAACUUACCGGAGGCCACGGAGGCUGUUACCGCGAGGAAACUCUAGUCCUGGCGGAAGACCAACUUCUAGCAGAUCCCCUUACCCUGGCUCUAGUCCACUAGCUCCUUCCUAGUCACAACCGAACUCACGGGGCGGAGGCCCUUAAGGAGCACUCGCAUCCUUCAAUCGCCGACUAGAAGCUCGCCCGGUGGGCGGAGCCGUGCCAGCUCAGGGCAGAGCGAGGAGGCAGAAGUCUCCGCCUUCCUCAAGCUUGGUUGAGAAGUCCACCUGCAGUUGCAAAGUACGGCUGUUUGAAAGCGGGCGCCAGAGGUGGCGGGAAGCUCCCCCUGUGCGCCCAUUGGUGGAUUCGAGAGCCAAUUACGAGGAAGUCACCCCGGAGUGGGCGGGCUGAUCGGUUGCCUAGAGACGCCGAGGCGCUUCACCCGCUACCUUCGGCCAGGGUGCAGCAGUCUUACGGGGACCCCUUGCCCGUUUGGUACCGGAGACUGCAAAGGUGACUCGUGCCUCCUGCGCUUCAGCACACAGAAUCCCGCAGAUUCCCCACCGAACUCUUGCCUUAGAGGUUUUUUACAUUUGCCCUUGUUUUCUAAGGCGCCUGCUUCCCCAUUAUUUAACAGCCUUAGAUAUUUUGCUUUGUCUUCUACCUUACUAGGUGCCGCUUUGUUUACAUUUUUGCUUCUUUAAUUACUGAUAAGAUGGCACAUUUUUCCACGUGUCUAUUUACUACUCUAAUUUCCUCGGGUGUGAGUGUUCUUGUCACUUAGGUGUAUAUUAUUAACCUGCCCCUAAAGACAGCGCCACCCAGUCCUCAGUAAAGCCCAGUACUGUGUCUAUCUUCUCUGGCUGAAAGGGUUCCAGUGAAUAAUCAAGGAAUUGGUGGCGGCAGGUUCACAUAUCCUUUCAACCCUUUCCCAUGUGUACUGGCACGGAGUAAAAUGGUUGUUCGAGGCUCUUCA